rnacentral:rRNA from 1 species
GACGAACGCUGGCGGCGUGCCUAAUACAUGCAAGUAGAACGCAGUUGCGAACGGGUGAGUAACGCGUAGGUAACUGCCUCAUAGCGGGGGAUAACUUUUGGAAACGAUAGCUAAUACCGCAUACUGUGUGAUGGUCCUGCGUUGUAUUAGCUAGUUGGUGAGGUAAAGGGUCACCAAGGGGACGAUACAUAGCCGACCUGGGAGGGUGAUCGGGCAACAGGGGACUGGGACACGGCCCAGACUCCUACGGGAGGCAGCAUGAGGGAAUCUUCGGCAAUGGACGGAAGUCUGACCGAGCAACGCCGCGUGGGUGAAGAAGGGUGUCGGAUCGUAAAGCCCUUUUGUUAGAGAAGCGGUACCUAACCAGAAAGGGACGGCUAACUACGUGCCAGCCGCCGCGGUAAUAC